CUUAUGGAGCGAAAAUGAUUAGCGUUAGCAGUGCUCUCUGAGAUGCGACAUGUGAGAAAUCGGAACUAAUUUGUGGCCGCCAUAUUGCUACAGUUGCGUUCGCUUUAAUGCUUUAAUGCUUUAAGCCUUUAAUAAGAAAAAAGAAAAAAGUGUUACGAAGAAGAGGUGUUACGAGGAAGAAGCACGAGAAGAAGCAGGUGCGAGAAGGAAAAACUUUUAGUAUUACUGUCAGUAACGACAACCAAAGUAAGGACUACAAGAAGACUUCAACAAGGGAAGAAGAAAAAACAAGAAGAAACAGUUACUCAAGAACCACCAAAAUCUUUUCCCUGUUAGCGACAAACAACUUGUUUUAUUUGAAUCUCAUAACAGCGGGAUCAAGAUGGUACGAAUAUGUUGUGUACUAGGAUGUUCGCCAGGGAAGACAGCACCAUCGCAUAAAUCCCCACGAAAUGCUGAACGUAGGCUACAGUGGUUCAAGAAUUUGAAAAUGGAGACAGUGGAGGGACCUGAGAAGAAAAAGUUAUGAGUAUGCUACAACCAUUUUAGGGACAGCGAUAAUAUACAAUCUUAUUAUAAAUUUUU
rnacentral:lncRNA from 1 species